rnacentral:rRNA from 1 species
AUACGUAGGUGGCGAGCGUUGUCCGGAAUUACUGGGUGUAAAGGGCGUGUAGGCGGGGAUGCAAGUCAGAUGUGAAAUUCCGGGGCUCAACCCCGGCGCUGCAUCUAAAACUGUGUCUCUUGAGUGCUGGAGAGGAAAGUGGAAUUCCUAGUGUAGCGGUGAAAUGCGUAGAGAUUAGGAGGAACACCAGUGGCGAAGGCGACUUUCUGGACAGUAACUGACGCUGAGGCGCGAGAGCGUGGGGAGCAAACAGGAUUAGAUACCCUGGUAGUCCACGCCGUAAACGAUGGAUACUAGGUGUAGGAGGUAUCGACCCCUUCUGUGCCGGAGUUAACACAAUAAGUAUCCCACCUGGGGAGUACGGCCGCAAGGCUGAA